CUGUAAUCAAGCACAGUACCAUCUCAUCUCAUCCACGAGAGCUAUUUUUGGCUUACAUGAAGGGAUGCAUGCUCUUCAUCUUGCAGGCACCUGAGCUAUUUACACAAGGAGGGGACCCAGCCUUCUUCACGGCUCGCGGCAGUGUCUCCC